GGAUCUUUUUMUAAACGGCCGCAGAAWUUUAACUGUGCUAAGGUAGCAUAAUCAUUUGUCUUUUAAUUGGAGACUAGUAUGAAUGGUUUAACGAAAUUAAGCUGUCUCUUUUAUACUAAAUAAAAUUUAAUCUUAAAGUUAAAAAGCUUUAAUAUAAUAAAAAGACAAAAAGACCCUAUAGAGUUUUAUUUUUAAUUUUAUAAAUAAUUAAUUAAAAAUUUUGUUGGGGCAACAAAGAAAAAAUAAAUUUUUCUUUAUUUAAUAAAUAUACUAUAUCAUUUACUUAAUACAUCAAAAUAAAUUACCUUAGGGAUAACAGCGUAAUUUUCUUUGAGAGUCCAAAUCGAAAAGAAAAAUUAC
rnacentral:rRNA from 1 species